rnacentral:rRNA from 1 species
AGCGGAGGAAAAGAAACCAACAGGGAUUGCCCUAGUAACGGCGAGUGAAGCGGCAACAGCUCAAAUUUGAAAUCUGGCGCAAGCCCGAGUUGUAAUUUGUAGAGGAUGUUUCUGGCGACGUGCCUUCCGAGUUCCCUGGAACGGGACGCCAUAGAGGGUGAGAGCCCCGUACGGUUGGUUGCCUAGCCUCUGUGAAACUCCUUCGACGAGUCGAGUAGUUUGGGAAUGCUGCUCUAAAUGGGAGGUAUACGUCUUCUAAAGCUAAAUACCGGCCAGAGACCGAUAGCGCACAAGUAGAGUGAUCGAAAGAUGAAAAGCACUUUGAAAAGAGGGUUAAAUAGUACGUGAAAUUGUUGAAAGGGAAGCGUUUAUGACCAGACUUGAGCAGGUUGAUCAUCCGUGGUUCUCCGCGGUGCACUCUGCCUGUUCAGGCCAGCAUCAGUUUGGUUCGGGGGAUAAAGGCUUCGGGAAUGUAGCUCCCUCGGGAGUGUUAUAGACCGUUGCGUAAUACCCUGAUCCGGACUGAGGUUCGCGCUCUGCAAGGAUGCUGGCGUAAUGGUCAUCAGCGACCCGUCUUGAAACACGGACCAAGGAGUCGUCUUCGUAUGCGAGUGUUCGGGUGUCAAACCCCUACGCGUAAUGAAAGUGAACGUAGGAGAGAGCUUCGGCGCAUCUCCGACCGAUCCUGAUGUUCUCGGAUGGAUUUGAGUAAGAGCAUACGGGGCCGGACCCGAAAGAAGGUGAACUAUGCCUGUAUAGGGUGAAGCCAGAGGAAACUCUGGUGGAGGCUCGCAGCGGUUCUGACGUGCAAAUCGAUCGUCAAAUAUGGGCAUGGGGGCGAAAGACUAAUCGAACCUUCUAGUAGCUGGUUUCCGCCGAAGUUUCCCUCAGGAUAGCAGUGUUGAUCUCAGUUUUAUGAGGUAAAGCGAAUGAUUAGGGACCCGGGGGCGCUAUAUAGCCUUCAUCCAUUCUCAARCUUUAAAUAUGUAAGAAGUCCUUG